GAUCCUGGCUCAGGAUGAACGCUAGCGGGAGGCCUAACACAUGCAAGCCGAGCGGGAUUUGUUGGUUAGCUUGCUAACUAACGAUGAGAGCGGCGUACGGGUGCGGAACAUGUGUGCAAUCUGCCCUUAUCAAGGGGAUAGCCCGGAGAAAUCCGGAUUAAUACCCUAUAACAUAUGGGAUGGCAUCAUUUCAUAUUAAAAGCUACGGCGGAUAAGGAUGAGCACGCACAAG
rnacentral:rRNA from 1 species